rnacentral:rRNA from 1 species
GGAUUAGAUACCCUGGUAGUCCACACCGUAAACGAUGAAUGCCAGUCGUCGGAUAGCAUGCUAUUCGGUGACACACCUAACGGAUUAAGCAUUCCGCCUGGGGAGUACGGCCGCAAGGUUAAAACUCAAAGAAAUUGACGGGGGCCCGCACAAGCGGUGGAGCAUGUGGUUUAAUUCGAAGCAACGCGCAGAACCUUACCAACCCUUGACAUCCUGAUCGCGGUUACGAGAGAUCGUUUCCUUCAGUUCGGCUGGAUCAGUGACAGGUGCUGCAUGGCUGUCGUCAGCUCGUGCCG